AACGCAGAAGCACUCAGAAGCUGUUUAGUGUCACGGUCACCGCGUGCUAUGAAGAGGGAUUUUGUGUUGGUGACGAUUAUCUCCUAUACGGGACGGAAAUAUUUUAAUAAUUUUAUUCGUUUUUGAAGAGUUUCGAUACUGAUCAGGAGAGCACUGGCGGUCCAUAAAGGAUCAGUUUACUGGAUGUUACUGAAGACAAUGUAAACUAUACUUCUGUUAUUCAAGACCUAUUUAGUUGACACUCCAGUUUUUAAGCGAGUUUCCUACCUCAGUGGCUGAGUGGCAAAUUAUUGCACGAGAGUUUGAGUCAAGAUGGAACUCGGGGCUGUCGAUGGAAAACAUGUACGCAUCACGCCGCCACCAGAUUGUGGAUCAUAUUUUUGGAACUACAAAGGCUACAACAGCCUUGUUUUAUUGGGAGUGGUUAAUGCAAACUAUGAAAUUCACCAUGGCUGACAUAGGGGCGAACGGACGUGUAUCAGAUGGAGGGGUUAUUGAAAACACAGUUUGGAAAAAGUCUUUCAAAUGGGAGACUUAAUAUUCCAGACGACGCUACCCCUGUUAAUUCUAAUUGUAUGUUGCCUUACGUUUUUGAAGGAGAUGAGGCAUUUGCGCUGAGACCUAAUUUUAUGAAACCUUAUCCUCAAAAGGAUUUGAAUGCAGAGAAUAGGAUUUUUAACUACAGACUGUCAAGA